rnacentral:rRNA from 1 species
UCCAGACUCCUACGGGAGGCAGCAGUGGGGGAUAUUGCACAAUGGGGGAAACCCUGAUGCAGCGACGCCGCGUGGGUGAAGAAGCGCCUCGGCGCGUAAAGCCCUGUCAGCAGGGAAGAAAAUGACGGUACCUGACUAAGAAGCCCCGGCUAACUACGUGCCAGCAGCAGCGGUAAUACGUAGGGGGCAAGCGUUAUCCGGAUUCACUGGGUGUAAAGGGAGCGUAGACGGCGACGCAAGUCUGGAGUGAAAGCCCGGGGCCCAACCCCGGGACUGCUCUGGAAACUGUACGGCUGGAGUGCAGGAGAGGUAAGUGGAAUUCCUAGUGUAGCGGUGAAAUGCGUAGAUAUUAGGAGGAACACCAGUGGCGAAGGCGGCUUACUGGACUGUAACUGACGUUGAGGCUCGAAAGCGUGGGGAGCAAACAGGAUUAGAUACCCGUGUAC